rnacentral:lncRNA from 1 species
AAAAUUUGCUGUUGUACUUCCUGGGAAGAACCACUCUGGCUCCUUCCUCAGGAAGCUAAGAGCCCAUCUCUUACUGCAAGAGAGCAGGAAGAAAAGAUUGUGCUGAGCCACCGAGAAAGUCCAAGUGGAGUAAAUGAUGUCUUGGAGGAAGUGAUCUAUUGCUGCCUGGGACUGGUAGCUGGAAAAGCUCUGCUAUUGUACAGCUGGACUCCCACUGACACCUCUGGGAACUGCACAGACGAAAUCCUAGAAAGGCCUUUCCAUCUCAGUGGGUCUCCCUCACAUUGCUUCGGAUUUAGCUUUUUGCCGAAUCUAAAGUACAUCUGAAGAUAUCCUUUCUCAGGAAGAAGCAAAAGGCAAACAGUAGUUGAACACUUGGACUGCAAACAUAGAAUUGCUUCAUUUUACUCCUUGUGGGUAUGUUAAUCCAAAUGUGUUAAAGAGCUGAGUGAGUUCUCACAUAUUUAAUCAUAUGUCUUAUUUGGGUUUCUGUUUUGGUGUUUUUGUGCUCUGCAAGUCUGAGCAACUGAUCCUGCUCAGUCUCAUCCUUUUCCUGUUCAUGCUGGUCCUGGCUUUUUCCUGUGAAGCAUCUCUCCCUUCUGAAGUAACUGGCACAUUAAAGGGACUUUUCUAGCAGAAGCAGAAGGGCAAAAACUGUAUCAUCAGUCAUCUUUAUAUACAAAAUGAAAUUCCAAAAGCACUUCUGCAGGAAUUCUUAAUAUCUGAUUGCUUCUCCUGUCUGGUGUUUCCUUGGGUACUUUCCUUCAGAACUCCCCCACCCCAAGUAUGAUUGAUUAUAUAAAUGUCAAAACAUUGUAUUCUUCUCGUACCACCAAAAAAGCAGUGUGUGUCCUAGUAAUUAUCUGCUUUAAGUGUGAUACUUUAAAAUAGUUUGCAUACUACACAGGAGCAGAAAACCCUCUGAGAACACAUUUUUGGAGUGGGUAAGUUUUUCUCCAUCAAUUUCCACAGGCUUUGGAUGAAACCCACAUACCCAAAGAUGUCUCCUUGCUGCAGAGGUGGCUAACAGUCAUAACAAACUCAUGGCAAACUGGGUAAGCUUCUUUGGUGAAAUGUAUUUAGUCACAGAGUACAUCUGAAAGGUAACACAACUGCUUUCAUCUUCCCAACCUUUGAACUUGGAGCAUGGAGUGGUCAAGAUUUGCUUUAAAAGUGUGUGCACAAAUAUACAUAAUUGCAUUUUAAUAGCAUAAAGCAAAUUUUUGAUUCUGCUGCACCCUUACUCACCUUGAGUAGGUUUUCACUCCAUCAAGUCUUGCUCAUUUUGAUAGAGCUUUUUGUUGGGCGAAGAACUAAAGAAUAUGAG